AUGUGUAUUCCCAAGAAAGAAGGGGGUAUGGGCUUCAGAGAUAUUCACUGCUUCAAUCUUGCACUUUUGGCAAAACAGGCAUGGCGCCUUAUUGACAACCUGGACUCUUUGUGUGUUUUGAUCCUUAAGGCGAAAUAUUUUCCUGAUGGAGAUCUCAUGAAUGCAACUUUAAGAAAGAAGGCUUCAUAUACAUGGCGGAGUAUUAUGGCCGGAGUUGAUACGCUCAGACGUGGGUAUAUUUGGAGAGUUGGUGAUGGUGAGAAAAUUAGCAUAUGGGAUGAUCCCUGGAUACCCCAUAGCCCAACAAGAAAGGUGAUUUCACCAAGGGGCAACAAUCUUCUUUCUAGAGUUUCUGACCUCAUUGAUCCAGUGACAGGGAGUUGGGAUGAGCAGGUGGUUAACCAAACGUUCUGGCAAGUGGAUGUUCGAAGGAUUUUGGCCAUUCCACUACCAUUACAGGAGAUGACAGAUUUCCUGGCAUGGAACAUGACAAAGUCAGGGACUUUCACGGUGCGAUCU
rnacentral:rRNA from 1 species